rnacentral:rRNA from 1 species
CCUACGGGUGGCAGCAGUGGGGAAUAUUGGACAAUGGGCGAAAGCCUGAUCCAGCCAUGCCGCGUGUGUGAAGAAGGCCUUCGGGUUGUAAAGCACUUUCAGUGGGGAAGAAAGCCUUGGGGCUAAUACCCUCGAGGAAGGACAUCACCCACAGAAGAAGCACCGGCUAACUCCGUGCCAGCAGCCGCGGUAAUACGGAGGGUGCGAGCGUUAAUCGGAAUUACUGGGCGUAAAGCGCGCGUAGGCGGUCUGAUAAGCCGGUUGUGAAAGCCCCGGGCUCAACCUGGGAACGGCAUCCGGAACGGUCAGGCUAGAGUGCAGGAGAGGAAGGUAGAAUUCCCGGUGUAGCGGUGAAAUGCGUAGAGAUCGGGAGGAAUACCAGUGGCGAAGGCGGCCUUCUGGACUGACACUGACGCUGAGGUGCGAAAGCGUGGGUAGCAAACAGGAAUAGAUACCCCUGUAGUC